CAAGACUCCUACGGGAGGCAGCAGUGGGGAAUAUUGCACAAUGGGGGAAACCCUGAUGCAGCGACGCCGCGUGAAGGACGAAGUAUUUCGGUACGUAAACUUCUAUCAGCAGGGAAGAAAAUGACGGUACCUGACCAAGAAGCCCCGGCUAACUACGUGCCAGCAGCCGCGGUAAUACGUAGGGGGCAAGCGUUAUCCGGAUUUACUGGGUGUAAAGGGAGCGUAGACGGCCAUGCAAGUCUGAUGUGAAAACCCGGGGCGCAACCCCGGGACUGCAGUGGAAACUGUGCGGCUGGAGUGUCGGAGAGGCAAGUGGAAUUCCUAGUGGAGCGGUGAAAUGCGUAGAUAUUAGGAGGAACACCAGUGGCGAAGGCGGCUUGCUGGACAGUAACUGACGUUGAGGCUCGAAAGCGUGGGGAGCAAACAGGAGUAGAUACCCCUGUAGAG
rnacentral:rRNA from 1 species